rnacentral:tRNA from 2 species
GUAGCUGUGGCCGAGAGGUUAAGGCGAUGGGCUAGAAAUCCAUUGGGGUCUCCCUGCACAGGUUCGAAUCCUGUCAGCUACG